ensembl:rRNA 5S_rRNA 5S ribosomal RNA
GUCCAUAGCUAUGCCACCCUGAACAAGCCCGAUCCCGGCUGAUCUCGGAAGCUAUGUAGGGUCAGGCCUGGUUUAGUACUUGGAUGGGAGACCACCUAGGAAGCCCAGGUGCUCUAUGCG